GUAAGAAUUAUAUUUGAUGUCCAACGGUCAUCAUAGCUGCUUCAUCGUGGUUCCCUGUUUCUGUAUUUUUACUCCUUUAGUGGUUAACAUAUUUUUAAGGCAGAAAGAGAGCAUGUACUUUUGUUUUUUUCACAUCCUAGCUAACAUUAAUGCAGUUUAUCUAGCUACGUCAUCAAGCGUGGCUUCGCUUCCAACCAGCUUUUUCUCUCCAAGUGCAAGUGCAGCUCUGUCUCCGUGCUGUGGGCUCACACUGCUUCAGCUCUUCAAGACAGAUGACUUUUUGUUUUAACUCCCAAGCUUUUUCCCUCCAAGUGGCUGUGCAGUUCUGUCCUGCUGACUGCUAACAUAGCUUCAUCUCUUCAAAAGACAAGACAACAGGUAUCUUCCACCAAGAUGUCUGUUGAAAUGGAAAUGACCUUGCCCACUACACCAAGGGUAAUCAUGCUUGGAAAUAGCUUGAUGUCUGCAACCCGGUGGAUGGUCAGUAUGGAGGAGAAGGUAUUUUUCCAGCCAGACCAACUACAUGACUUUGCCAGCGUCCUU